rnacentral:rRNA from 1 species
AUUGAACGCUGGCGGCAGGCCUAACACAUGCAAGUCGAACGAGUGGCGGACGGGUGAGUAACGUCUGGGAAACUGCCUGAUGGAGGGGGAUACCUACUGGAAACGGUAGCUAAUACCGCAUACCAUAAGAUGUGACCAGAUGGGAGUAGCUUGUUGGUGGGGUAACGGCUAACCAAGGCAACGAUCCCUAGCUGGUCUGAGAGGAUGACCAGCCACACUGGAACUGAGACACGGUCCAGACUCCUACGGGAGGCAGCAGUGGGGAAUAUGGCACAAGGGGCGCAAGCCUGAUGCAGCCAUGCCGCGUGUAUGAAGAAGGUCUUCGGGUUGUAAAGUACUUUCAGCGGGGAGGCGUUACCCGCAGAAGAAGCACCGGCUAACUCCGUGCCAGCAGCCGCGGUAAUUC